rnacentral:lncRNA from 1 species
AAGACAACAUAUAUAAUAACAGAGUGUAUAGAGAUAAAUGUCACAAUAUAAUCAGAGUACUUAUUACAUAGCGGAAGUCUUACAAAAUAAAGCUAAAUAUAGAUCGAACUAAAAUCCAUCCUUGGCGCCAGAAAGUCAACUGGGAGACGCCACCUAGAUCGAAUCGAACUCCUCGAUGUGUGGCUCCACUUGAACCACCUGUUCUUCUCCUGUGGGGGUGUAAGACAGCAAGGGUGAGCUAACACAUGUUCAUCGCUCAACAAGUUGUGGGGAAUAAUGUGGCAUGAACUCACCAAAGGUGGGAGUUCAUGUGAUGUGUGAAGCUGAUCAACAAUAGGGGUUAAACCUGAGCAUUGCUUUUUAAUAAGUUGGUCAAAAUUUUAUUAGCAGUUACUAAAUGUAAGUGAAUACCAAACCAUAAUAAAAAUAAUAUAACAAAAUUAAUAAAUAAUCCCAUGCAAAUGACAAAUUGGAUUUAAGUUCCAUAAAUUAAUCAUGCGAGAGUCCUGAGCUACUCAUGACAGUGAGCUUGGCUAGUAUACAAGUUUUACACUCUGUAGAGGUUAUACCCUGUACCCACAAGUCGUGUAUCCCAUGUCGUUAGGGUUUGCAAGGCCCUUAGACACUACCAAGGUGAAUGGCUAGGGAUCCACAACGAGGCCUUUACAAAGUUCCACUAGCUUCCGAAAACCUCCAUCGCAGAAAAUCAACGCGAGAACCUCCUUGCAUGCAACUCCCCUACUGCUCUUGCCUCUUUCGGGUAAGGUAGUCUUCCACUAGCUUUCCUAAUUAGUCAGCCAAGGGCGUCCCAUUCCACCCUUGUGGUGGCACGUGUUUCUCAAGAUAAGCUCCAUGUUCCAAUUAAAAUUAAUGAUCUUGACAUGAACAUAAAUAGAAUAACAAAAUAAUUGGAACAUGGAUAUAAUGAAAUAUUAUCCCAAAACCAUGUAAAGCAAUAGCAAAAAUAUCCAAGUGAUUCAGGGAUAACAAGGUAAAGUGAUAAACAGUCUAGGGUGACCUAUUGGGUCCCAUCAAAAUUAAACCUAUGCAUUGAAUAGUGAUAAUAAAGAAUAUUAUUGGGUAAUAAAAGUGGAUCAAGGGCACAACUUGCCUAGCACUUGAGAUUCCAGUUACCAGGGUGAUUCUUCGGAUCCUCGUGACCGCACUGCUAGUCGUAGCAAUACAAACAGACAUGGUAUAGACAAAAUUAACAUCACACCAAACAUAAGUACAAACUGAAUAAUAAUGAUCUACGCGUCGUAACGAGAUUGUGGGAUCGAGAACUAGUAAAAUCGGGGUCAUGGUUAUGAAGUUAUGAUUUUCUAAAGUAUUAUGUGAUUAAACAGGAAAACUCAAUCCUAGGUCGAUUAUACGUAAUAUAAAUCAUGUGAGAAAGAUAAUUGAAAUAAUUAACUAACUUACUCUUGAUCAGAUUAAACUUUAUUAGAAAACAUAUUUUAGCUCCCAUUAUAAUCAUAGACAUAGUAAUCUUUGGUUAGUAGGAUAAAUCUACUAAACAUAGGAUAAAUAAAUAUCUAAUUGUAAAAGUAUAUGAUAUGAUAUAAUUAGGGCUAACAUUGUGUAGGCAAUCUUAUUACGAAACUAACGCAACUGGAACAGGUCAAUUUGGGGUUAAAACAGAUAAGUUAUGAAUUUUCUGCCUUUUCUAGAAUUAUUCCUAUAUUAAAAACCGAUUUCCAUAUUUAUUUUGCAACUUGUGGACCACAGCCAUUAAUUUCAGGAAGCACAGGGUCUUUCACGUAAAUAUUUGGACCUGGUUGCAAUGAUCCGAACGCUGCCGAGGAUGGCGGGUUAAUUCAUGUGUUUGUGAGGGGGCCCUUAGAAAAAUGUAUCCACGAAGGGGUACAAUGUGAUCUGAGCCGCAGGAUCAGAGUUCUAUGGCUACGAUUAGAUCGACCAAUAACACUGAAUCGGUAUGCGACGGGGACCGUUCGAUACAGAUCAACGCACAUGAUUUAAAAACGCUGGGACCAGAUCUCCACCGUCGAUAACCCGAUCCACGAUCACGGUUUUAAUUCACGCGAUUGGCUCAACACCACACAUCUGUCGAUCGACGGUAGUGGCGAACCCGAGUCGAACCAAUGCUCGCCUAGACCCCAUUCACCUGAUCAAGAUCAAAUGGUCCCUGAUCGUCGCCCCUUCUAACCACACCGACUAUCAUCGCGCGGUGGCGCGCGACGGCCGACGGCCAUGCCACGCUAGCGAGCAUUGCCCCGCGGCCCAGGCGCUCUAAUUCUACGCUAAUAAGGGUAGGAGAUUGAGAAGAUCCACGCGAACACAGUAGAGGAUGACUUACCGGAGCUCAAGCAAUGCAAAUCCAUGUCCACGGUGACAGGCGGGCACGCGACGGUGACCAUGCUCCGACGAGCGAUUCAGCCAACGCCAACCGAUCACCACCGCUCACAAGGUCACGGCCGAGUCUAGAGCUGCAUGGCGAAUCUCCCUGGCCCCAUGCCAUGGUCCAGAGAUCGACACGCGUGCAUGCCCCAUGGCGACACAUCCCGCCUCACUCUCUCUCUCUCUCUCUCUCUCUCUCUCUCUCUCUCUCUCACCGGCGAGACUCACAGUUGGUCCUAGUGGCUAAGAAUGAACGGCGCGAGAUUCACGCAUUAGGAAGGAGGGGCGGAGGUUGAAGAUGGGUUGUCACAGGGCUAGGACGCUACAUGUAGGAGCAAGAAGAUCCGGGAUUGAGCCACGAACCCCCGAUCUCCCCGCGUCAGUCCGCAGUUGAGCCUGGCGGCUUUUAAGGACGUGCGAG